rnacentral:lncRNA from 1 species
GUUUGGUUAGGAUUUGAUUUAGGAUUAGAGUUUGGUUAGGAUUUGAUUUAAGAUUAGAGUUUAGAAUUUGGUUAGGAUUUCAUUUAGAAUUAGGAUUUGGUUUAGAAUUUAGAGUUUGAUUAGGGUUUGAUUUAGGAUUAAAGAAUGGUUAGGAUUUGAUUUAGGAUUAAGGUUUGAUUUAGGAUUAAGGUUUGGUUAGGAUUUGAUUUAGGAUUAGGAUUUGGUUAGGGUUCAAUUUAGGAUUUAGGAUUAAGAUUAGGGUUUAGUUAGGAUUUGAUUUAGGAUCAGGAUUUGAUUUAGAGUUUAGAAUUUUAUUUGAGUUUGUUUAGGAUUUAAGAUUUAGUUAGUUUUUGGCCUAAAGUUUGAAUGAAGUAAGAUUUCAACUAGGAUUAAAUUAAUAUUGAACUGAGAUAUAUUUGAAAUAUGUUUUUAAUCAUUCUAAUAUUUCUUUAAGAUUUCUUAUUGUUUCUUUAGAAUUCCUUUGAAGUUUCUAUGAAUUUGAUUAAAGCUUGUUUAGCAUUAUUAGUAUUCUAUUAGAAUUAGGAUUUUGUUGUUGCAAUUUCUAUUCUA